AAUGAGUGAUGAAAAAUGUUUUGGUCCCAGAUGAUGUCCAAUGAUGAUGUUACAUUUUUUGGAUGUU
ensembl:snoRNA SNORD73 Small nucleolar RNA SNORD73